rnacentral:rRNA from 1 species
UAUCCGCCCGGGAACUACAAGCACAAGCUUGAAACCCAAAGGACUUGGCGGUGCUUUAGAUCCUCCUAGAGGAGCCUGUUCUAGAACCGAUAACCCCCGUUCAACCUCACCUUUCCUUGUUUUUCCCGCCUAUAUACCGCCGUCGUCAGCCCACCCCGUGAGGGCUUAAAAGUAGGCUUAAUUGGCACAGCCCAAUACGUCAGGCCGAGGUGUAGCGUAUGGAAAGGGAAGAAAUGGGCUACAUUCCCUAUUUUAGGGCACACGAAUGAUGUGCUGAAACGCAUGUCUUGAAGGAGGAUUUAGCAGUAAGCAGAAAGUAGAGCGUUCUGCUGAAAUUGGCUC